rnacentral:rRNA from 1 species
UACAGAGACUGCAAGCGUUAUUCGGAUUCACUGGGCGUAAAGGGUGCGCAGGCGGCCGAGUGUGUGAGGCGUGAAAGCUUGGAGCUUAACUCCAAAAUUGCACCUCAAACUACACGGCUAGAGCAUUGGAGAGGGUAGCAGAAUUCAUGGUGUAGCAGUGAAAUGCGUAGAUAUCAUGAGGAAUACCAGAGGCGAAGGCGGCUACCUGGACAAUUGCUGACGCUCAGGCACGAAAGCGUGGGGAG